UACGUAGGGGGCUAGCGUUGUCCGGAUUUAUUGGGCGUAAAGAGCGUGUAGGCGGCCAGAUAGGUCUGCUGUGAAAACUCGAGGCUCAACCUCGAGAUGUCGGCGGAAACCAUUUGGCUAGAGUCCGGAAGAGGAAAGUGGAAUUCCUGGUGUAGCGGUGAAAUGCGCAGAUAUCGGGAGGAACACCAGUGGCGAAGGCGACUAUCUGGGGUGCAACUGACGCUGAGGCGCGAAGGCUAGGGUAGCAAACAGG
rnacentral:rRNA from 1 species